GAAAAGUGGUCUUCGUCGUCUGGUUGCAUAAAGAUGCGACGCGAAUAUUUUCUGGACAAGUAUUACAAUCCUAAUCGUGCCUGUGGCUCAUUCGCAGUUAAUAUUAAUAAUUAUUUAUUGUUGUGCAUCAUCCGUGUCCGGUUGGUAUUUAAACGGGCGUUCUAAGUCAUUCCAGUGCUUGUGUCGUGUCGAGAGUGCUCCGAAAAUGUUUGAUAAAUGUAUAAUCUACGCGCUGGUUUUGUGCGCUGCGGUGAAUGCAAUUGGAAUUCCGGCCGAGCAAGACUUCGGGCCGAUUCUACGUCCGGAGAAUCCGACUGGCGCACGGAAUAUUCUCGGUUAUGAUAAUUUCCAAACGUCGAACAAAGCGAAGGAGCAGAUUAAGUACGGAAAUCACUGGGAACAAUUCGAUACGGAACCAGUGCAGGAUUUGAGGUUCAAUGGCGGUGCAAAUGGCGGACAUGGACAUAACCCCUACAAUACACAUUUAUUCAAUGCGCAGAGACCUGCAGCGAUAAAUUAUCAUCAUAAUCCUGUUCAAUAUAAUUCAUAGACAUAGAUUUUUGUGAUUUUUGUGUGUUUUAUUAUAAAAAUAUUGAUUGUUUUGUAUUAAACAUCUUGUGAGUAA